GAAUGACAUGAUGAAUAGAAGAUGUUUCCCUAUCGGCUUGAUUGUCGUGAUGAUGGCCGCCUCCCUAAGUAUUAGUUCUAUCUUUUAUAU